rnacentral:snoRNA from 1 species
AAGACUAUACUUUCAGGGAUCAUUUCUAUAGUUUGUAAUGUGAGUACUUAAGCAGGUGCACCACCACCUGGCAACCUAAUUGAAUUGGU